rnacentral:rRNA from 1 species
AUGGCAUCCCAAGCCGUCGAGAGCCAUCGUGUCGGCGCGGAGAUAUUCCGCGGCGACGACGCCAUGUGCAAGAAGAAGUCGGUGGAGGUGCUGGAGGAGCUGGGCCCAGUGGCUGAGCCAGAACUUUUGUGGAGCCUGGGCAAAUUAUGCCUAACCCGUCGGCCAGGGGUGGGCCGAAAAGGUGGUUUUCGGCCAGGGCAUGGCCGAAGUAGGCUUUUCGGCCGCGCUUGGGCCGAAAACACGCUGUCGGCUGGGGCCCGACCGAAAAUAGUAGCUUCGGCUGCUGAGAGGCCGAACUGGGCCGUUUUCGGCCCACCGGUGACCGAAGUGGAGCUUUUCGGCCAGGCUGCGGCCGAAAAGUUUUUGAUGUGUUUGGGGAGGAGCAGCCAUGGUGGGGAGGAGGAGCCAUGGUGGAGAGGAGGACGGGUAGUGAAAAUGUCUGAAUCAGUAAAUCUGAAUGUUUACUACGGCGCUGGUAAUGUUCGAUAUAAUGAGUUGGGGGUUGAUCUUAGCGAGUUUAAAAAUGGCGUCAUGACACUAGCUGACCCGGACAGACUGGACAUUAGACAGUUGAAGUACUGGUUGACAACUAGUUUCGGUCUGGAUCCUGAAGUAUGUUCUGUCAGUAUUCAUGCAUUGUGGACCAAAUCCUGUAAAAAUGUCAAGUGGGAGUUGAUGCCGGUAGAUAGGAGCCAGCAUUGGUUGUCCCUGUUAAGACGCUGUCGAGACCGAAGAAUCCACCCAUAUGCACUUGUGCAACCUGUGCCGAAGGAGGAGAAUACCGUAGAACUCCACAGGGGGUAUGAACCCGGCCAAGGCAGUGAAGUGGCUAACGAGAUUGUUUUAUCCGGGUCACAGCCACAAGAUGUGGAUGCUAGCCAACCCGAGAAAGAGUCAGACUACGUGCCACACAAUGUUUGUGGUCCUGAUACUGGGCAGAGCAGCCAGUCGAUAAUAUUAGCUGGUUCAGGUUUUGCUGAUGGGGAUGAGGAAGGGGAUGAAAUGCAGAGGGUGAUGGAGGAAGAGGACGAGGAUGGAUUGGUGGAGGAACUGGAUUCUGAAAAUUCUGAGGAUGAAAUUGAGUUGGAUGCUAUCUCCUUCGUGUCCCCAUACUAUUUAAAAGAGGCAGUGCUCAACACCUGGACAGGCGAGAUGACAGGGUUUAGAGUCGUCGGCAAUUUCAACAAGGUAAACGAAGGUGAGAGAGUAUAUAUCCCGCAUCCAGACCUUCGGCGAACAAGUAGGGGCAGACGGAAGGCCCGUCGCAUCCGGAACGAUAUGGACCAGUCUGAAGCUGGUGGAGCAACCAGGCAAUGUUUGUUAUGCGCGGCUUAUGGGCAUAGGAUGAAAUAUUGUCCCGACCUGAACAAAGAUGGUGCUUCCGCAUCGACGAGUGCUUCCACAUCGACGGCUGCGACAACAAGAGGAAGAGGCGGACGUGGUCGUGGCAGUCGAGGCCGAAGGGGCGGACGAGGAAGAAAUAUGUCUUUGUAUCCGUUGCUUAAUGGCAACAUCGAUAGAAAGCACCGGGGCGCCCUAUUGGAAGCGGGCAACAACUUAGACGUGUUGGUCACUCGUACCCCAAAGACUAACUGGCUGAUACACGAUUCAUGGGUUGAUAGGUUAAGUUGGGCUGGACUUCUACCCUUGGCACGGCUGGUUCAGGGUACAUUGGAUGAGUGGAUUGAUGGUCCGGACUUAGAUGAGGCAGAUAUGUCUUUGUAUCCGUUGCUUAAUGGCAACAUCGAUAGAAAGCACCGGGGCGCCCUAUUGGAAGCGGGCAACAACUUAGACGUGUUGGUCACUCAUACCCCAAAGACUAACUGGCUGAUACACGAUUCAUGGGUUGAUAGGUUAAGUUGGGCUGGACUUCUACCCUUGGCACGGCUGGUUCAGGGUACAUUGGAUGAGUGGAUUGAUGGUCCGGACUUAGAUGAGGCAGGUGAACCAGUGCAGUUACACAAGAGGCAAGUGAGACGUUUCUCUUACGACAAGUCACUCCUUACCUGCUUAGUAGAUAGAUGGAGGCCAGAGACACAUACGUUUCACUUCCCAUGGGGAGAGAUGGCGCCUACUUUACAGGAUGUGUCGUACUUGUUGGGAUUACCUCUGGCCGGUGCUGCCAUAGGUCCCUUAGAGGCAGAAUCAGGGUGGCAAACAGCGAUGCAGACCCGUUUUUUGGCUGCGGUCCCGACUGCUAGGGCCAUAGACAACGAUCCUCAUGGACCUCUUUUUAGAUGGUUGAGCCAGUUUCAGAGGGGAGAAACUAUCCCACCGCGAGAGGGCGUCUCAUGGUUGAGGCGUCUUGAUGACAAGCUACGAGGGAUUUACGCUGCUGUUACGUGUAGACGGUCUUCGGAUGUUGCACUUCCUCCUCCAGCACAUCGUCCGCCACGUCCCUCUGUACAGCAUUCAGAACCACGACCCUCUGUGCAACGUUCACAACCACGACCUUCUGUGCACCGUGCAGAACCUCAUCCUUCACAGCCAGGGAGCUCUUCCAGGCAUGAGCCACCUCCUUCACAGCCAGGGAGCUCGUCCUGGCAUGAGCCACCUCCUUCACAGCCAGGGAGCUCUUCCUGGCAUGAGCCACCUCCUUCACAGCCAGGGAGCUCUUCCUGGAAUGAGCCACCUCCUUCACAGCCAGGGAGCUCUUCCUGGAAUGAGCCACCUCCUUCACAGCCAGGGAGCUCUUACUGGCAUCAACCACCUCCUUCACAGCCAGGGAGCUCUUACUGGCAUCAGCAGAUGGAACUAGGCGGCAACCUGUCGCAACCGUUCAUGCAUUCAGAGCAGUCACCCAUCCUUAGUGGUGGUGCUGAUUACUUUGAGGGCGACCGCGAGGAUGAUGACCAUGCUACAAACAUUUAUGGCUUCUCGCAGACAGUGUUUCACACUCCACCACCACCACCGACGCAGGAGACACAGACCGUGACAGACGAGGUUAACUAUGGUCGUGGUUAUCGCGAGCCUCGUCCACCGCCUCAGCGCUUAUCGCCUUCCGGUCCUCGCCCGAGGAAGACCCAGACUCGUCGCCGUCCCCCGCAGUGA